CCUCGCCUCCCUCGGUCCGAGGCCCAAAUAUACACAACUGAGCCUCCUCUUUCUCCCCUCCCCCCUAGUUCCCAGCACCACCAUUUUGCUCUCUUCCUUCCCCUCUCCACGAUACCGCGCUCUCCCCCACCCCAGUUACAGCCUCCCCAGCUUGCCUCCCCCGACUAAGGCUCGCACCCCACCCCACCUCCAGUUUUGGGUCUCCUAGGCUUAAGAGCCUGCCGGAGAAAAGGAACCUAAAUCUAAUGCUACACAGAGAAGCGGAGCCUCCAUCUUGCGCUGCUCCGCGUUCUCCAUUUUGGGCCACCCAUGGGGGGGUCCUCCGUAGAGGCCCCGAGGGAGAGUUGGGCGAGGGAAGGAAGAGAAAAUCUUCAGCGAGGGUAGUCGGAAAGAAGAGUCCUGCGGUAGAAAGCGACUCUAGGAGUAGGAGUUUGUGGUGCUGGAGAUGGAACCCAAGGUGUCACACAUACCAGGAAAAUGCUCUAUCACUGAACCACAGACCCAGCCCAAUGCCUUGCAAAUAAUAAUCGUGUUUUGUUCACAUUUGUUAUAACCAAACAAAUGUUAGCAUAUAGUAGAAAAUCAAUAAAUAUUUAUUGAAUUGAAAUGAAGAAUAAAUAAUUAUCUGGAUCAGCA